rnacentral:rRNA from 1 species
AGGCUGUACGGCCACACUGGGACUGAGAUACGGCCCAGACUCCUACGGGAGGCAGCAGUAAGGAAUUUUCCACAAUGAGCGAAAGCUUGAUGGAGCGACACAGCGUGCAGGAUGAAGUUCUUCGGAAUGUAAACUGCUGUUAUAAGGGAAGAAAAAAUAGAAUAGGAAAUGAUUUUAUCUUGACGGUACCUUAUUAGAAAGCGACGGCAAACUAUGUGCCAGCAGCCGCGGUAAUACAUAGGUCGCAAGCGUUAUCCGGAAUUAUUGGGCGUAAAGCGUCCGUAGGUUUUUUGCUAAGUCUGGAGUUAAAUGCUGAAGCUCAACUUCAGUCCGCUUUGGAUACUGGCAAAAUAGAAUUAUAAAGAGGUUAGCGGAAUUCCUAGUGAAGCGGUGGAAUGCGUAGAUAUUAGGAAGAACACCAAUAGGCGAAGGCAGCUAACUGGUUAUAUAUUGACACUAAGGGACGAAAGCGUGGGGAGCAAACAGGAUUAGAUACCCUGGUAGUCCACGCCGUAAACGAU